AUUGAACGCUGGCGGCAUGCUUUACACAUGCAAGUCGAACGGUAACAGGCCGCAAGGUGCUGACGAGUGGCGAACGGGUGAGUAAUGCAUCGGAACGUGCCCAGUCGUGGGGGAUAACGCAGCGAAAGCUGCGCUAAUACCGCAUACGAUCUAUGGAUGAAAGCGGGGGACCGUAAGGCCUCGCGCGAUUGGAGCGGCCGAUGUCAGAUUAGGUAGUUGGUGGGGUAAAGGCUCACCAAGCCGACGAUCUGUAGCUGGUCUGAGAGGAGGACCAGCCACACUGGGACUGAGACACGGCCCAGACUCCUACGGGAGGCAGCAGUGGGGAAUUUUGGACAAUGAGGGCAACCCUGAUCCAGCAAUGCCGCGUGCAGGAAGAAGGCCUUCGGGUUGUAAACUGCUUUUGUACGGAACGAAACGGCUCUGGUUAAUACCCGGGGCUAAUGACGGUACCGUAAGAAUAAGCACCGGCUAACUACGUGCCAGCCGCCGCGGUAA
rnacentral:rRNA from 1 species